GCCCGAGUGGCGGAAUUGGUAGACGCGCUCGUUUCAGGUGCGAGUGGAGUAAAAACCGUGCAGGUUCGAGUCCUGUUUCGGGCA
rnacentral:tRNA from 1 species